rnacentral:tRNA from 1 species
GGUUGUUUAGUUUAUAAAAAACAGAUAUUUUGAAAGUAUCAGAAAAGAAAAAGUUCUUAAUAAUCG